rnacentral:rRNA from 1 species
AGUGAACGCUGGCGGCGUGCCUAAUACAUGCAAGUCGAACGGAGAUUAAGUAGCUUGCUAUUUAAUCUUAGUGGCGCACGGGUGAGUAAUAUAUAGCUAAUCUGCCCUACACUAGAGGACAACAGUUGGAAACGACUGCUAAUACUCUAUACUCCUUCUAAGCAUAAGCUUAGUCGGGAAAGUUUUCGGUGUAGGAUGAGGCUAUAUCGUAUCAGCUAGUUGGUAAGGUAACGGCCUACCAAGGCUAUGACGCGUAACUGGUCUGAGAGGAUGAUCAGUCACACUGGAACUGAGACACGGUCCAGACUCCUACGGGAGGCAGCAGUAGGGAAUAUUGCUCAAUGGGGGAAACCCUGAAGCAGCAACGCCGCGUGGAGGAUGACACUUUUCGGAGCGUAAACUCCUUUUCUUGGGAAAGAAUUAUGACGGUACCCAAGGAAUAAGCACCGGCUAACUCCGUGCCAGCAGCCGCGGUAAUACGGAGGGUGCAAGCGUUACUCGGAAUCACUGGGCGUAAAGGACGCGUAGGCGGAUUAUCAAGUCUCUUGUGAAAUCUAACGGCUUAACCGUUAAACUGCUUGGGAAACUGAUAAUCUAGAGUAAGGGAGAGGCAGAUGGAAUUCUUGGUGUAGGGGUAAAAUCCGUAGAGAUCAAGAAGAAUACCCAUUGCGAAAGCGAUCUGCUGGAACUUAACUGACGCUAAUGCGUGAAAGCGUGGGGAGCAAACAGG